rnacentral:rRNA from 1 species
GUGGGGAAUAUUGCACAAUGGACGAAAGUCUGAUGCAGCAACGCCGCGUGGAGGAUGACACAUUUCGGUGCGUAAACUCCUUUUAUAUAAGAAGAUAAUGACGGUAUUAUAUGAAUAAGCACCGGCUAACUCCGUGCCAGCAGCCGCGGUAAUACGGAGGGUGCAAGCGUUACUCGGAAUCACUGGGCGUAAAGAGCGUGUAGGCGGAUUGAUAAGUUUGAAGUGAAAUCCUAUAGCUUAACUAUAGAACUGCUUUGAAAACUGUUAAUCUAGAAUGUGGGAGAGGUAGAUGGAAUUUCUGGUGUAGGGGUAAAAUCCGUAGAGAUCAGAAGGAAUACCGAUUGCGAAGGCGAUCUACUGGAACAAUAUUGACGCUGAGACGCGAAAGCGUGGGGAGCAAACAGGAUUAGAUACCCCUGUAGUCC